rnacentral:lncRNA from 1 species
GAACAGCUCUUGGUAAGGACCAUCAUGAAAGCAUCCAGGAGCUGUGUCAGGACCUCAGGCAAAUGAAAAGACACUGCUUGAAGUUAAUGGUGGGCUCAUCCUUCGAGGCCAACAACAAGCCAGAAGCUGAUAAAUAUAAAGCACAUCCCACCAUGUGAGGCUGAUCCCCAAAGGCUCCCCUCACAUCCAGCCCAGCCCUGCCUGAAUUCCUGCUUCAGAAAAGACUCCUCAGGAUUACUGGUACCCUGUUGCUGCUGCCCAAUGGUUGUGGCUGCUCAGGAGCUGAUGGACCAAAGAUCAGAAGAGAAUCACGGGCAGGAGUGAGUGUCCAAACCCUGCAUCCUUCUGGGACCAGGUAAUUCCCUUGAGUCCUAAUGUCCCAAGAAAAAUCUGUAUUCCCUCUAAGUCAUAGAGAAGCAGAUGACUUAUGAACAGGAAAUUGCAAGGUGCAGGCUGAAUGAACAACACUGGCUUCCCUUGGCAACUCUUCACGGUGAAAGGUAACAUUUUCAAAAUUUUCCUUGGGUGUCUAAGUCUCACUGCCAUGAACCAUGGGCUCUAGCACCAGACAAGGCCUUUGUAGGAGCUAAAGACUUUUGUUCCAGUUGUUGAAAGGUAAAUUUGGGCUGUGAAGAUACUCUGCUUGCCUCCUGUCAGUCAGCAUUAACCAGCUUUCCAUGGAUGGGAGUAAGAGUGUGAUUCUUCACACAGUGUGAAGCCCCUCUCUGGAAUCCACUAUCAAAGGAGGGUGUGUAUUCCAGCUGCAUUUUAUUUAACAAGGGAUGGAUAAUUUUAUGGCCAGUCUUAUUUGUAGCUUUGCAUGGUAAAUUAAGGGUAAUAAAAGGAUAAUAAAAGCAGGUAUUUCA